rnacentral:rRNA from 1 species
UACAGAGGUCCCAAGCGUUGUUCGGAUUCACUGGGCGUAAAGGGUGCGUAGGUGGCCAGGUAAGUUCGGUGUGAAAGUUCGGAGCUUAACUCCGAAAUGGCAUUGAAUACUAUCUGGCUAGAGGGUCGGAGGGGAGACUGGAAUUCUCGGUGUAGCAGUGAAAUGCGUAGAUAUCGAGAGGAACACCAGUGGCGAAGGCGAGUCUCUGGACGACACCUGACACUGAGGCACGAAAGCCAGGGGAGCAAACAGG